UCUUUCGUAUUGUCGUGACUUGUUUUGAUUUAGUUGCGGCGAUCGGACGAGAACCUCGCAAAAAUAGGCGUUUGCGGCGAACCCCGAUGCGUUGUUUGUAUCAGCGACAUUUUGCCACGAGGGAGUUGCCGAGAAUGAGCCGGCACUGAUCUAUUUGCGUGAAAUGAAAGGUGAAAGCUGAGCGUGAUCCAGCUGAUGUACCAGACGGGAACCAGUCGAGUGUGAGCCGACUGGCCACUUGUCCCACCGCUGCGCCAAAAACACAUCUGGCUGGCCAGCGGUGGCUGGACACACUGGUGGACGACGGCGGAGGGCAGGAGGACGUCUGUAGCAUUCUGGCGGGUCGCCGGUGAGCGACUCACGGGCCCGGCUGGACAGCAGACGCGCGGGCGGCAUCCUGUGUCGCCGAGCUGGCUGGUGACCGGCGGUCGGCGCGGUCGGGAUGCUGUUCGUGGGGACUCACCUCUGCGGGCCGUGGCAUCGGCCUGCUCGAGCUGGCGCGAGCUGGUCUGGGGUCGGCUCGCCGCGUCGCUGAUGCCGGAAGCUGACGGAGGGCAUCGGAUGGCGUGUUGUGUUAUCGAGGGGCGAGCGGCGGCUCUGAGUGAUUCGGAGCGGGCCGCGCGUCGGCUCGUAUCGCGUCUCGUGGUGUGGCGCUAGGCGUCAGUGAGACAGUGUUUGUGUUGUGUGCCGUGCGCUCCGGACGCCUCGGCCAUGAACUCUCUGAAGUAUAAACGACUCGGGUGUCGUAGAAGAUCGUCUUUGUGUUCGAGCUGGCGGCUACCAGGCCUUCUGUGUUGUGUACUGAAGGUAGUUCGUGAUGGCAGUGAACUGACGCUGUGUAUGGCUCAUGCGGCUCAGGGAGUUUCCUCCGAAACUGGGGGGGGGGGGGGAGGAUGUCGUGACUUGUUUUGAUUUAGUUGCGGCGAUCGGACGAGAACCUCGCAAAAAUAGGCGUUUGCGGCGAACCCCGAUGCGUUGUUUGUAUCAGCGACAUUUUGCCACGAGGGAGUUGCCGAGAAUGAGCCGGCACUGAUCUAUUUGCGUGAAAUGAAAGGUGAAAGGUCAGUAUUUUUGAUUAUUGUGCCACUGACAAUGAUGAGCAGUUGGCCGUGGAUAUUAAACUGAUAAACUGUGGCUAGACAACUGAUAUAUUGUAGACAUUAUGUUCGUUGCGGCAAUUAUGGCGCGAGUUCCACGUGCUAUUGGGGUUGAUAUUGCUAAUUUAGAUUAUUUACUUUGCAUUUGAGCCUUUGAGAUCUAGCACAUUGUAAAAACUGGUACAUUUCCUCGUGCAUUUGGGCAGUGGCAGGUGUAAUAGGUUGUACUGUUGUGUGUCACCAGCUGAGCGUGAUCCAGCUGAUGUACCAGACGGGAACCAGUCGAGUGUGAGCCGACUGGCCACUUGUCCCACCGCUGCGCCAAAAACACAUCUGGUCAGUAAUUGCUAUCUUUAUUUGUAACAGAACAAAUGCCAGUUGUAACUUGUCAUUUUUGCUGAUUGAUUUUAUGUGCAUCUGGCAAAUGUGCAUUUUGUGUCCGCAUUUCGUACAAUGUGUGAACUGUCCGCAUCAAUGUCCGCAUUUGAUCCUUGGUUAUGUUGUAUGUGUGAUUAUUGGUUGUUCUUUUGCAGAAAACCACGCGCUUUGGACACUUGCUGCACACAUGCUCUGAGUUCCAAUCAUGUUCCGCAAUACCAUGUCUUUCCUAUGUA
rnacentral:misc_RNA from 1 species